ensembl:lncRNA
GUUGCCCCUUCUGUGCUGGUACUACUGAUGUGGAUACAGCAGUGACUUGUGCACUUAUGUCCACCUUCAUGCUAACAGAUCUUCCAUUUGCUGCUGUAGUUCUGUCUGUCUCUCCUGAAGAGUUCCAGGUAUUGUCUCCAGUGGGGCUUUACAGUGCAAACAGAACUUAUAUGCAGAAGGUGUGACUUUGGACUUCAUCUGAAGCUUCCAUAGUGUUAAUUUCACAGGUACUGUCUUCUGCCCAAGUCAAAUGAUAACUUUCAUAAUGAGUGCUUCAGAAAUGAGACCACCUCUUAAUGUUCUUAGUGGCAUACAUCACUUGCACAUGGAAACUAGUUCUAACUUCAACAUUUGUUCUCUGUAUUUUCUUGAGAAUGUCAGUUCUUGCAAGGCUUUUAACUUUAUUCCUCCGCUCCGAAUAUUUUCAUAGUUUGCUUAACUCAUGCUACCAUCUGUUG